UAUGCAGUGAAAUAUUAAAGAACGUGAUGAGAACCAGCUAAUUGUACGUAUAACCUUUAAGAUGUCUCAGACAGGAUUCCAGUCUUCACCUCAGGUUAUAAAGAGAAAGUAAUGGGGCCAUAAAAACACAUUUAAGUAUGCCUUUAAAGUUUAAGGAGAGUUUAAUUGCGGGUGCUGCGGUGCCUGGGAGCACAGCCUCUCCCAGGUAGCUUUUCCCUGGGAGAGGAUCAGCGAGGGCCAGGCUGGGCUUUGCUUGCCCCGGGAGGUUUGGUUUGUACUAAUAAACAUGCCAGCUGUAGGUCAGAUGGUAAAUGAAAGUGAUAUUCGAUGGCCCGGAUCCUCACCUGGCGUAAAGCAGGACCCUCCAGGGCUGGGUUUGAAGCCUGGCCUGGGUGACCUGCGGGGAACCGUGGGUGACCUGCAGCCGGCAGGAAAGGAGCUGCAGCCCUGCCAGGUUUCUCCACAUCUCCAGCGCAUUUCACAGUGCCCAGGAAAGGAAAGAGGAAGAGGAAGAAUGGUUUUUCUUACACUACAAAUUCUUUCCCUGUGGCUCAAGAUGCAGAUCCGCCUGCAGAUGACAGCCCGUGCCCAGGCAGCGAUGUGCCUUGGUCACUGCAGGGUCCAUGGAGAGAUUCAAAAAGCACCCGGAGGCCAGAGCUGAGCAGCUUCAAUUCUCACUGCACACGUGGGAAGGUGCAAAGCAGAGAUCAGCCAAGCUGCUCAUUUUAUACUGCUUUUUAUCUAGAAACUCAGAUUUUAUCAAGAGGAAGUAGAGGAAGCGAAAGCAAAACCAAGUCAGGAGCACUUCCAACAACUCUAUGUCCAUGAGCACUUCAGGACUGAGUACAUUAGCACCUGUGUUUGCAGGCUUGGGCUCAAGAGCCUCCCCCAAGACAGUUGGCUGAGGACUGAUAACUCUAAAUGACACCUAAAUGUGACCUUAAUGACAGACCUACCGGAGCUGCAGGAGGGACACCACCAGAGAAAUCACCCUGCCAGAUGCAGUGGUGCAGCAGAAGGGCAGUGUUUUGGUUGUGAUCCCAAUCCGGGCUGCUCCAAACCUGACAUCACUGUUCUGCUAUUUCACAAGCACUGCCUAGUGCUUGCUCCAGAGCAGGAAGCACUGAAGUUUUGGAUAUUUGCAGUUUUCUGAAGAAUCAGUGUCAAACACACAGCAACCAGAGGCCAACCCGCAGCCAGCUCUGCUCGGGGCUGUCUGCCAGCUUGGGUCUGCGAAGCAUCAAGGGACGCGACGUGAGAUAGCUUCUUUGCUUCCCAAUCAAUCAGUCAGUCCCACAUUCCCCUCGGAGCCGACAUUGACAGGGCAAUAAAUAACCCGCUGGCAGCAGCACAGGUAGGGCAGGGCUUCUCCGCCUGCCCUGCAAGAGGUCAGGAACGUGGCUGGGGAGGCAGCGCCUGAACCGCGGCUAUUUGGGGAGCAUCGCUUGCAGGAGGGCUGAGGUUCAUCCUGCACAUGCACACAGACUUUCCCAGGAUCAUUCAAAGCUUUAUGUGAUGCAGAAGCCGGUGAUUUUGGUCACCUGCCUGGUUCUGGGCACCCAACAUCCCACAGAGAGGGGACAGUCAGCGGGGGCUGGUCCUCGUGAGCCUCUGUCCUCCCAGCUUUGAUCAGAUGCAUCCUGAAUACAUUGCUGGUUGCAAACCGCAGGAUCUGCUGCUCUGCAAGCCCUGCUCAGCCCAGUGCCAGGUUGCCAAUAGCUGCAUUUUAAGUGGGAAUAUUUGUAGCCACAAUUUGCUCUAGCAGGCAAAAUUCAGAUAUUUUGAUUUGUGAACCGCAGGACUAAAAUCUGCUUUAUCCUCUGCACAGUGUGACUCUCCGUGUGGUUUCAAGGAUCACUAGCUGUGACAAGGGGAUGGGGAUGGCUGGAAAAUGACGCGUGAGAGGGCCAGCUGAUGCUCCUGUGUCACGAGGGGUCCGUGGAGGAGCCAAAAGUUGAGAUGGUGACUCCAGGUUGGCAUUGGGGCACUGUGCAGGCCAGGCAGCUAUGGAAAUGGUAUCCCCUUAGUACUCUUUUUUGAUCUGCUGAGCUCCCAGGUGCUUACAAAGUGAGCAAGGCACGGCUGUGCAGCCUCAGCACAGGCUGGAUGGACCAAGGGCUCUCAUCCCACCACGUCCCCACCUCUGGCACUAGCACAGGGCACGGCAGCUCCCUCGUACCUAUAUUUCUGCUCCGGACCCUCCAGGUGCACACAGAGACAGGAGCAGAGCCAGCCUUGCAACAUGACCUUUAAUUAAAGGACAGCACCACGCCGCUGAAUCGAUGUCCCUGUGCCGGGAGCUCUGCAUCGGAGCUGCAUUGCAGUGUCAGCAUGGGGCCGGAUCCAGCUGCAGCUCUCACCUGCAU